CACCCCCUUUUCACUUUGCCAAUUGGACUUAUGUCUUUAUUGGUCAUUCAAGUGGGGCAAAAGAAGUAUCCUUUUCAAACUCAGACAAACUGAGUAUUUGGCUUGGAUCCUGUCAGGGGAAACAGGU
rnacentral:snoRNA from 1 species